rnacentral:rRNA from 1 species
AACGAACGCUGGCGGCAGGCUUAACACAUGCAAGUCGAACGAACUCUUCGGAGUUAGUGGCAGACGGGUGAGUAACGCGUGGGAACCUACCUUUAGGUACGGAACAACAGUUGGAAACGACUGCUAAUACCGUAUGUGCCCUAUGGGGGAAAGAUUUAUCGCCUAAGGAUGGGCCCGCGUUGGAUUAGCUAGUUGGUGGGGUAAAGGCCUACCAAGGCGACGAUCCAUAGCUGGUCUGAGAGGAUGAUCAGCCACACUGGGACUGAGACACGGCCCAGACUCCUACGGGAGGCAGCAGUGGGGAAUAUUGGACAAUGGGCGCAAGCCUGAUCCAGCCAUGCCGCGUGAGUGAUGAAGGCCCUAGGGUUGUAAAGCUCUUUCAGCGAGGAGGAUAAUGACGUUACUCGCAGAAGAAGCCCCGGCUAACUUCGUGCCAGCAGCCGCGGUAAUU